rnacentral:rRNA from 1 species
AUCCAGACUCCUACGGGAGGCAGCAGUGGGGAAUAUUGCACAAUGGGGGAAACCCUGAUGCAGCGACGCCGCGUGAGUGAAGAAGUAUCUCGGUACGUAAAGCUCUAUCAGCAGGGAAGAAAAUGACGGUACCUGACUAAGAAGCCCCGGCUAACUACGUGCCAGCAGCCGCGGUAAUACGUAGGGGGCAAGCGUUAUCCGGAUUUACUGGGUGUAAAGGGAGCGUAGACGGCAGCGCAAGUCUGGAGUGAAAUCCCAUGGCUUAACCAUGGAACUGCUUUGGAAACUGUGCAGCUAGAGUGCAGGAGAGGUAAGCGGAAUUCCUAGUGUAGCGGUGAAAUGCGUAGAUAUUAGGAGGAACACCAGUGGCGAAGGCGGCUUGCUGGGUCGAUACUGACAUUGAGGCACGAAAGCGUGGGGAGCAAACAGGAUUAGAUACCCUGGUAU